GAUGAAGAACGUAGCGAAAUGCGAUAAGUAAUGUGAAUUGCAGAAUUCAGUGAAUCAUCGAAUCUUUGAACGCACAUUGCGCCCCCUGGUAUUCCGGGGGGCAUGCCUGUUCGAGCGUCAUUUCACCACUCAAGCCUCGCUUGGUAUUGGGCAUCGCGGUCCGCCGCGCGCCUCAAAUCGACCGGCUGGGUCUUCUGUCCCCUAAGCGUUGUGGAAACUAUUCGCUAAAGGGUGUUCGGGAGGCUACGCCGUAAAACAACCCCAUUUCUAAGGUUGACCUCGGAUCAGGUAGGGAUACCCGCUGAACUUAAGCAUAUCAUAAGCGGAGA
rnacentral:misc_RNA from 1 species